GAUGAACGCUGGCGGCGUGCCUAAUACAUGCAAGUCGAACGCUUUGUGGUUCAACUGAUUUGAAGAGCUUGCUCAGAUAUGACGAUGGACAUUGCAAAGAGUGGCGAACGGGUGAGUAACACGUGGGAAACCUACCUCUUAGCAGGGGAUAACAUUUGGAAACAGAUGCUAAUACCGUAUAACAAUGACAACCGCAUGGUUGUUAUUUAAAAGAUGGUUCUGCUAUCACUAAGAGAUGGUCCCGCGGUGCAUUAGCUAGUUGGUAAGGUAAUGGCUUACCAAGGCGAUGAUGCAUAGCCGAGUUGAGAGACUGAUCGGCCACAAUGGGACUGAGACACGGCCCAUACUCCUACGGGAGGCAGCAGUAGGGAAUCUUCCACAAUGGGCGAAAGCCUGAUGGAGCAACGCCGCGUGUGUGAUGAAGGGUUUCGGCUCGUAAAACACUGUUGUAAGAGAAGAAUGACAUUGAGAGUAACUGUUCAAUGUGUGACGGUAUCUUACCAGAAAGGAACGGCUAAAUACGUGCCAGCAGCCGCGGUAAUACGUAUGUUCCAAGCGUUAUCCGGAUUUAUUGGGCGUAAAGCGAGCGCAGACGGUUAUUUAAGUCUGAAGUGAAAGCCCUCAGCUCAACUGAGGAAUUGCUUUGGAAACUGGAUGACUUGAGUGCAGUAGAGGAAAGUGGAACUCCAUGUGUAGCGGUGAAAUGCGUAGAUAUAUGGAAGAACACCAGUGGCGAAGGCGGCUUUCUGGACUGUAACUGACGUUGAGGCUCGAAAGUGUGGGUAGCAAACAGGAUUAGAUACCCUGGUAGUCC
rnacentral:rRNA from 1 species